CACUCCCUCGCGUGUUCGCCAGUUGGCAUGUUCCUGAGCCGAUAGCACGCCCCGGGAUUUGCCUGCAAGGCACGUUGUGCAUGUCCACUUAAGGUGGAAAGCCUUAUCGCCUGCGGCAUCUCCCACCUUGAACUUUUCGGGUUCAAGGGCUACCCAACAGCGGCACGUUUGGGAGUCU
rnacentral:other from 1 species